ACCUUUGUUCAUCUCCCCCAGACCAUUUUCGAUUCUUUUACAAAGUGAGACCGUAACGUUACCCGCUUCUUCUCACGGACUCGCACCGUAACCAGAAAUAUCUACACACGGCAAGGGCUGCCGAAGGGAGAUGCCAACCGUUACCGCUUCGCGACAACGCCCCGAGAUCCGGAGAUGUCAAGAAAUAUCCGGGGUCAUCUACGAGACGACCGGCGGCGUUUUAUACGGCUCUGCUUAGCAUUAGCUAUGUUGGUGAACGUUAAUUCAUUGCAGUUUAUGAGAUUUGUCCAGUUCUAAUUGUGUGGGCCACAUUCCCACUUACCGUUGGGCAUCCGUUGAGCAUGUUGUGUUUGUUACAACGAGGCGAGGCAGCUAAUGCGAGCCCGUCUCUUUUACCAUAAUAGCUCCGCACGGCGAAAUAUCUCCAAUCGAUCGGUAUCGGAGGCAAGGGCUGCGAAGGGGGAGGCCAAGGCUCACCGUAACGCGGGUGCUACACAACACAUUCCGGGAGACGUCGGGAGAAUCUCCGGGUUCAUCUUUUUUGGAGAUCUGCGGUGUUCAAAACAGCAGGCGGGCGCCUUGGUCUUCCCCAGACAUUUGACAAGAAAUGUCCAGACGUACUAAGGGAGGAGCUGGGUAAGGAAGGUGCCAGGCGCAACCGUCACUGAAGAUGCUUCCCGAUCGCGACAUCAGUGCAUCACCAAGCCAAGCAGGAGGCGUCAAGCCUAUACGUACGGUGUUUUUCAGAACUCAGAGUAAAGUGGUUUUAGGACCCUUAUUACAUUAAUCCAUUAUAUUCUGCAUGGCUGCUGUUAUUAUUUACACCCCUGGGUCAUAAGGAGUCAUUAUGACCCUUUUAAAUAUGUUUGGAAAUAGAUGGUUUUUAGUAUGCUUUGAUUUAAAUGUUUUAAUCAUAUCAUGCCAUUCCAGUACAGGAGUGGCUAACAGUAAAUUGAUGUUUUCAUUUUUUGUCCUUUGAAUAUGUCCUAUGUGAAUAUAUGUCUUUUGUGUUUUUACUUAGCCUAAAGUUUCCAAAAACUGUGUCCAAAAUUACAAUGUAGUAUAUCUAUCUAAUAGUAUACUGAUAUUGAUCAUUUAUGGUGUAACGUUAGAAGGUUACUUGCUGUAAUUUUCCUUCUUAGAUUCGUCCUUAAGCAAUUUGGCUAAUGUACGAUUUACGAGCCAAUAUCAAUCUUAUAAAUGUUUACUACAACUGUACUGGUUAAAAGACAACAACGUCCUCUGGUGUCUACGUGGCAUACUGCACCGGUACCGUAGUUAUUCCAUCAGCGCCCGUAAAAACUAGUAUUUUCUCAUUUCCUCACUUGCUCUCACGUUGCCAUUCUAGAUCUGUGUUAACCCGUUGAAAGCUUUGUGGGAAUGUUUGCCUAGUCUACAUAGAAAUGUCAAUAAUGCUUUACAGUCUUAUAGAAAUGUGAAUAAUGCUUUACGAAUAAUGUGGAUUUUCCUGUAGCCAAUAGCCUUUCUAAAUAUAUCAUGAUAUACAUAGUAUAUAUACACUGCUCACCGACUAGUGACGUAUGGUAUCUACAUAACGUGACGUCACAGAAGCAGUGGAUUGUUCAUUCUUUGACAAAGACUGGAGCUGUUCAGUCGAAAAUUUGUCCAAUUUUCCAAUUUUCGCGUUGGAAAUUAAAUUUGAUAGGCACAGUAAUAGUAUAUAUUGAUUAGUUUAUUGAUUUCGUCAUGUAUUUUUCCAUGUAUUCUUUCUUGAAGGUCUUUUGGUCUCACGUAGGCUUUAUAUUCCGUGUAUUUUGUGUCUUUUCUAGUACAAGACUGGCCAACUUGACAUAGAAAGCCACAUUAUCCAAGAAAAUGAUCUCAAAAGACUCUUUUUAUCCUGUAGCUCAAUUCAAUUCAAUUUUAAUGGGAAUCAACUGACAGUGUACAAUGUUGAAGGCAUGUACACUGAAUUGUGUUGAUUUUACACAAACAUCAACAAUACAUAUUAAAAUUGACAAGUUAACAGUUGCCAUAUAAUUGUUAUAGUUGUAAUCUAUUUCCAUGAUCAAGGUUUGAAAGUGUCAAGUACAACCUGGGCAACAAAUAGUACACUGUGUUCCUCGAAUAUGUCAAACAAAUGCUCAAAUAAACCGUUUUAAACCA